UACGUAGGGUGCAAGCGUUGUCCGGAAUUAUUGGGCGUAAAGGGCUCGUAGGCGGUCUGUCACGUCGGGAGUGAAAACUCGGGGGCUUAACCCCGAGCCUGCUUCCGAUACGGGCAGACUAGAGGUAUGCAGGGGAGAAUGGAAUUCCUGGUGUAGCGGUGAAAUGCGCAGAUAUCAGGAGGAACACCGGUGGCGAAGGCGGUCUCUGGGCAUUACCUGACGCUGAGGAGCGAAAGCAUGGGGAGCGAACAGG
rnacentral:rRNA from 1 species